GCCAGAUUAGCUCAAUUGGUAGAGCGCCGGUUUUGUACUCCGGGGGUUGCGGGUUCGAGUCCUGCAUCUGGCUCCA
rnacentral:tRNA from 1 species